rnacentral:rRNA from 1 species
UACGAAGGGGCGAGCGUUGUUCGGAUUUACUGGGCGUAAAGGGCGCGCAGGCGGCUCAUUUUGUCAGGCGUGAAAGCCCCGGGCUUAACCUGGGAACUGCGUUUGAUACGGAUGGGCUAGAGUUCGGGAGAGGAGAGUGGAAUUCCCAGUGUAGAGGUGAAAUUCGUAGAUAUUGGGAAGAACACCGGUGGCGAAGGCGGCUCUCUGGACCGAGACUGACGCUGAGGCGGCGAAAAGCGUGGGGAGCAACAGGG